UCCCUGGUGGUCUAGUGGUUAGGAUUCAGCACCUGCACUGCUGCCACCAGGGUUCAAACCCUGAUCUGGGAA
rnacentral:tRNA from 1 species